rnacentral:rRNA from 1 species
CACAUGCAAGUCGAACGAUGAACUGGUGCUUGCACUGGGGAUUAGUGGCGAACGGGUGAGUAACACGUGAGUAACCUGCCCUUGACUCUGGGAUAAGCCUGGGAAACUGGGUCUAAUACCGGAUAUGACCUUCCAUCGCAUGGUGGUUGGUGGAAAGCUUUUGUGGUUUUGGAUGGACUCGCGGCCUAUCAGCUUGUUGGUGGGGUAAUGGCCUACCAAGGCGACGACGGGUAGCCGGCCUGAGAGGGUGACCGGCCACACUGGGACUGAGACACGGCCCAGACUCCUACGGGAGGCAGCAGUGGGGAAUAUUGCACAAUGGGCGAAAGCCUGAUGCAGCGACGCCGCGUGAGGGAUGACGGCCUUCGGGUUGUAAACCUCUUUCAGUAGGGAAGAAGCCGCGAGGUGACGGUACCUGCAGAAGAAGCGCCGGCUAACUACGUGCCAGCAGCCGCGGUAAUACGUAGGGCGCAAGCGUUAUCCGGAAUUAUUGGGCGUAAAGAGCUCGUAGGCGGUUUGUC